rnacentral:tRNA from 1 species
GGGGGCGGUUAGGUAACUGGUGUGCCUCCUGGUCUUCAAAACCAGUGUAGGGCGCGUUUGCGUCCCGGGUGAGUUCGAUUCUCACACGCCUUC